rnacentral:rRNA from 1 species
UACGAAGGGGGCUAGCGUUGUUCGGAAUUACUGGGCGUAAAGCGUGCGCAGGCGGCUUCUCAAGUCAGGGGUGAAAGCCCAGAGCUCAACUCUGGAAUUGCCUUUGAGACUGAGUGGCUUGAGUACGGGAGAGGUGAGUGGAAUUCCCAGUGCAGAGGUGAAAUUCGUAGAUAUUGGGAAGAACACCGGUGGCGAAGGCGGCUCACUGGCCCGUAACUGACGCUGAGGAGCGAAAGCAUGGGUAGCGAACAGG